GCCAGGGUGGCGGAAACCGGUAACGCGCCAGACUCGAGAUCUGGUUGCCGCAAGGCAAUUUGGGUUCAAAUCCCAACCCUGGCG
rnacentral:tRNA from 1 species